GUGUACAGCCAUACCACUCUGGAAGCAUCCAGUCUUGUUUGAUCUAGGAAGGUAAACGGGGUUGAGCCUGGUUAGCACUUGGAUGGAAGACCACCUGGGAAUAUUGGGUGCUGUAGGCU
rnacentral:rRNA from 1 species